AGAACUUAUAAACAAAGUAUAGAAAAACAAAGUUUGAGGUUAAGUGUUUAGAAUUUGUUUUUUAAUAUUAAAAAAUUAAAAAAAUACACAUAAAGAGAAAGUGUGAUAGAACAAUAUAUUUAUUACAAUCAUUUUAAUUCAAUUGACAUAAGUACAUCAAUCCAAAUAUGGAAUGCAGUGAAUUAAAAACAAAAAUUAAACCUAAAAUAACCGGUAAAUGUCAAACAGAUAUAUAUCAAUUUCGAUAAAUUGUCAACAUAUCAGUGAUGUACAUUCGAUAAUGUUUACAAUAAAAUGAGGUGAAAUCAGUUUGUUUAUGUAAUUAUAGCAUAAAAGUGAUAUCACCUAAAUAUAUGAAACCACACGAAGGAAAUAUUGCAUCAAGUCGCGCAAUAACAACCGAACAAAGGGAUAAAAUUACAAUUGAAAAUAAGUUAUAAUCGACAGUCGCGCGAGAACACUCUUCUUGUUACACUACUACCGCGCGAGCGAUUGGUAUGCGAUUUGAAAGCCCACUUGUGACGUAGGCAUGACGCAGCUUCAAGAAAGUGAUCUACGGUCUGAUGUUUAUUUUCAAAGUUUCCUCCUUCGAGAGUCAAGUGUUGAUAUGCAGUCAAACCAGUGUAGUGUGUGAAUUGCUUGAAAUUUCUGCUUCCGUAAAAUCAUCGUCUUCACUGCUAUAAGACUUUGAAUAUAUUUACUUGGCAAAAAGGAAGACACGUGCAAAAGUUUGUUGUGCUGUGGGGAAAAAAAAGGUGUUUUGUUUGCGCGUGUGAUAAAAUUCCAAAUUCCCCUGACGUGAGGUGGCAAGCGAAUCUCCGAUUGGCCAAAACAAGUUCACGAUUGAUCGCUCACGUUGUUGGUUGUUCAUGUGACCUCUCUUCUCGUGUAUGUAAAACUUGUUAUUUUUAGAGAGAGAAAGAGAGAGAGAAAUAAUUGAUUUUUUUCAAUUUGGAAAUGAAAAUUGGAAGAAAAUGAAAUGUCAACAACAAGAAUUUGUCAAAACAAUGCCAAUUGAAAAAGUGCUAAUAUAUAGUUGAAUAUAUUUCGUGAUGUUGUAUUUUGCUGACGAAAGUCAUGGUCAUCAGGCGCGCAGGUCGUGAACAAGCUCGAGGGCUAUGUAACUUGAUUCUUCGAACAUCAGACUGAGACAGAAUAUAAUCAAGACAAGUCAAGACUUGUUUUUAAUUUCAGUAAGAGAAGUGAAGUCGACAAGUGUUGUUCUAUAUGUAUUUUUUUUGUGAGUAGUUAAUUUUUGCUGAAGAAAAUAGUUUGCAUAAUCAGUUGAAGAAAAAAAAGUGGUUCGUUGUACUCCCACGCGAACUUGUGAUAUCAGUGCAAUGCGUGGAUUUCCUGCUUUUUCAAUUUUCAAGCGCUUAUCAAUAUUUUUAAUAACGUGAGCGCCAGUAAGCACGCGCCAUCAAGUGCCAUCGGGUCACAGAUGGACCCUCCCUACCAACGUCUAGUUGCUUUGUUUAUGUUUAGAGUGUGCAGAAGACUCGAACUACUACAGCGCGCACAAUUUACUCCAAUAUUUAUCCUCAACACAUUUAUUAAAUCUCUAAUAUUUAAUGUUGUAAUUUGAAAUUCCUUCUCUUUUAAAUUAUUCCCUUUAUUUUCAAUAGUGGAGUAACAUUUUCUUUUUCAUAAACAAUUGACUAAAUUUUGUGUAAAAUCGAUUUCCCCUCCAAAAAGAAAUAUAAUUCGUGUGUGUGUGUGUGUGUGUUUCACUUCUAAUGGAAAAAGAAAAAAAAAACAAGUAGUGAGAGUAGUGGGGCGAUUCUAGUGUUGGAUUAUUCGAGGUAAACAAAGAAACUCGGAAGAAACUCAGAUGUUCAUCCAUUAAAAAAAGUGGUCCUUUGAUAACGAAAAUUCGAAGGGGACAACAAACAAAAAAUGGGAGACUCUGUGUAUCAGGAAUUUUUCCUCGAAGUCGGAAGCAAUGCAAUGGAUGAAUUUUCAAUAAAACCGGAGGGUAUUAAACAAGAGCCACCAACUGAGAUGGGAACAUCGGCUUCAGUACCAAUUCCCUGUGGACAUCGUGGUAUACGCGGUGUUUAUGAUCAAUUUUCACCAUCGCCAUUGGCAAUAAAUUCAAUUUGGAGUACAAGACCUGAUCAAAUGGAUUCACCGUUUAAACUUGAUCCACUGCAAUUGGAGACAUCAUUUAAAAUGGAUGACGAUGAUAUUUUUCAAGUUGAUAAAGCCGAUCUCAUUCAGGGGCCAACGCUCGCUGAACUUAAUGCCAAUGAUGACACACUUUUGGGCGAUUUGAAUUUCGAUGAUCUUCUAUUGCCAGAGGAGAAAAUACAAUUUAAAGUAGGAACUGAUAAUGUGCCAUCAGCGAGUUCAUUGUACAGUAGCAGCAGUGGUCCAUGUUUUGCACCGAGCAGUUUUCCACAGUCAGCUCAAUCAUUUCGCAGUUGUCCAACUUUUGUUAAUAAUUCAGGAUUUAAUCUUAAUGGUGGUAUUAGUCUCAUGGACAGUUUAGAGGCGGUCAGUCCCUCUGCAUUUGCAAGUCCUGGCACUAGUAAUGUUGCAGGAAGUUCCACGGCCAGUUCGUCGACGUCUCCCCAUCCAAUUAGUAGACCGACAGGACAAUCGACACUUCAUGAAUUGUUGAUGAAAAAGGGCGAGAAUCCUCCAAAUAGUCCAAUGUACAGUCAAAUGGAAUCAGUUGGGACAUCUAGUAAAAGUAAAGUUUCAAGGCUAUCAAUGUCGGCACCGACGCAAUCAAUGGGCUUGGAACAAAUCUGGGCGCGAAGGGAGCCCAGGCCACAUUUACUCAGUACCGGAAGUACAGCGGGCUUAGGAUUGACCGAGGCUGGCUCAACGAGCAGUUUGAGUACAGGCGGUGCUUUGAGUCCCGAUCCUCUAGGACAUCUCGAUCCACUUAGCCACGAUGAGGGUUAUGAGGACAGCGACGACGAUAGCGAUCAUUAUGACGAUUACAGUAGUGACAAUGGAACAGGCGGAAGUGACGGUGAAGAUCAGGGAAGCGUGGGAAAAGGUGGCGGCGGUACUGAAUCGGCAAAAGAAGCGAGACACAAAAAGGAGAGAUUCUUUUGGCAAUAUAAUGUACAAGCAAAGGGUCCAAAGGGUCAGCGUUUAGUUGCACGUGCACGUUUAGAGGAUCCUCAUGUUUUAAAUGAGGUGACAGAUCCGGUAUUUAGUCCACAUUGUGCAUUGAGAGGAAUAAAGCACAGUGGAAAAGCGAGAAAAGGCGAUGGCAAUGAUCUUACGCCAAAUCCAAGGAAAUUAUUCAGCAUUGGUCGUGAAUUGGAUAAAUUAUCACGCGUUAUCAACGACAUGACACCUGUUUCCGAACUGCCAUUUACAGCACGGCCUAAAACGAGAAAAGAGAAAAAUAAAUUAGCUUCUCGCGCUUGUCGAUUGAAGAAGAAGGCACAACAUGAGGCGAAUAAAAUUAAACUUCAUGGCCUUGAACAAGAACACAAGCGGCUGAUUCAUGGCAUAUCUCAAAUAAAACACACAUUGGCUGCAAAAUUAACGGAGCCAAAUCCAGAAGUUCAGGAGGAAUUGACACGGCAAAUGGAUAAGUACUGUAAAUUGGCAACAAAAGUACGAAUAGCCAGUCAUUCAACAGAUUUUGUAAACAAAGUGCUGGAUAAAGUUAGAUCUGGAGUACCUGAUGGAGGCAUCGAUGAAUUUUAGUAUAUCUUUAUCGACAUAGUGAUGAUGAAAAGCUGGCCAUGCGAUUACACUGCUAGAGCAGUUUUCUAUUUUUAAGAUGAUCCGAGAUGUCGCAAAUAGAUUAGAUUUUAUUGAAAACUUCACUUUUUCGAAAAGUCGACUUUGCCUUUCAAGCAUGGAGUAGUGGCUGACUUGGUCUACCUCAGAUGAAACGCUAUACCUGUGUAAAAACAAAACAAAAAAACUUUAAGCGACAAAUUUAAUAUAAAUUUAUAAAAAUUAAUAUUAAGAAAAUUAUAAUAAUAAUACGCGUAUAAGUAUAUGAAAAUUGUAAGAAAUGCAUAUAUACAUUAUAUACGUAUAUAAAAAGUAAGAAUACAUAAUAUAUAUAUAUUAUAUUUUAAUGUAAAAAAAAGAAGAAAAAAAAAUAUUUGGAGAAUGUAGCUCUGGUAGCAAUUCUCAUUUAAAGUUUAACAUAAUAUUGUCGCGUUUGAUUUUUAAAAUAUAUUUUAUUAAUAUAUUAAGUAAAUUUAACUGCGAUAACAAUUAUUUUUCAUGCUCACAAUAUUAUAGUGCAGCUCUCGUCAAUUGAAAUUGCCUAUGAAGUAUAUUUGCAUCAAGAUAGAAUGUAAGAUUACAUUUUUGAAUUCCUUUUUUUUUAGCAUAUACAAAAAAGAAAAAGAUACUGUACAUUUUUCACAAAAAAAAAAGAAAAAAAAAUAUUUAUUUAUUUUUAAGAUCUUCAAAAAACGCCAAUUCUAUUUUAGAAGGAAAAGAAACUUUUUUUUGUAUUUUUUUCGAGAAAAAACCAUU